rnacentral:lncRNA from 1 species
UUUUCAGCUAACCUACUUAGAUGAGGCAGCAAAUAUUAAAUGAUAGAUAAGUAUUUUUUUUUUCACAAAUUUCAUUUAUUGAAACCAAUAAUGUAGGGUACCUAGCUUUCUUCUAUCUUCCCCUUUCUUGCUUUUGGUUCCCUUCCUUUUCAACUCUAACUAAUUUGAGCUUCUCCUUAAUUUUCUACUCCCCUACUUUCCAAUUAUUUCCCAUUUUGAGAAAUCAAAUUCUUUUCUUUCUUCCAAUGGAAAUUAGCUUACUACUCCUUAUCAUUAUUAUAAUUAUUUUAAUAUAAGAUGAGUUGAAUGAAAUUUCGUAAUCACAAUUGCUAACCCUAAUUAGGGGUGAACAUUAAUCGGUAAAAAUCAAAAUAUUCG